AACCACAGCACCCAGGAUUCCCGCGUGGUCCCCCACCGUGGUACU
rnacentral:rRNA from 1 species